rnacentral:rRNA from 1 species
UACGUAGGGUGCAAGCGUUAAUCGGAAUUACUGGGCGUAAAGCGUGCGCAGGCGGUUUUGUAAGACAGUGGUGAAAUCCCCGGGCUCAACCUGGGAACUGCCAUUGUGACUGCAAGGCUAGAGUGCGGCAGAGGGGGAUGGAAUUCCGCGUGUAGCAGUGAAAUGCGUAGAUAUGCGGAGGAACACCGAUGGCGAAGGCAAUCCCCUGGGCCUGCACUGACGCUCAUGCACGAAAGCGUGGGGAGCAAACAGGAUUAGAUACCCGGUAGUCC